rnacentral:rRNA from 1 species
UAAUCUGCGAUAAGCGUCGGUAAGGUGAUAUGAACCGUUAUAACCGGCGAUUUCCGAAUGGGGAAACCCAGUGUGUUUCGACACACUAUCAUUAACUGAAUCCAUAGGUUAAUGAGGCGAACCGGGGGAACUGAAACAUCUAAGUACCCCGAGGAAAAGAAAUCAACCGAGAUUCCCCCAGUAGCGGCGAGCGAACGGGGAGCAGCCCAGAGCCUGAAUCAGUGUGUGUGUUAGUGGAAGCGUCUGGAAAGGCGCGCGAUACAGGGUGACAGCCCC